rnacentral:rRNA from 1 species
UACGUAGGGUGCGAGCGUUAAUCGGAAUUACUGGGCGUAAAGCGUGCGCAGGCGGUUAUGCAAGACAGAUGGGAAAUCCCCGGGCUCAACCUGGGAACUGCAUUUGUGACUGCAUGGCUAGAGUGCGGCAGAGGGGGAUGGAAUUCCGCGUGUAGCAGUGAAAUGCGUAGAUAUGCGGAGGAACACCGAUGGCGAAGGCAAUCCCCUGGGCCUGCACUGACGCUCAUGCACGAAAGCGUGGGGAGCAAACAGG